rnacentral:rRNA from 1 species
AUUGAACGCUGGCGGCAGGCCUAACACAUGCCAGUCGAGCGGAUGAAGGGAGCUUGCUCCUGGAUUCAGCGGCGGACGGGUGGGUAAUGCCUAGGAAUCUGCCUGGUAGUGGGGGAUAACGUCCGGAAACGGGCGCUAAUACCGCAUACGUCCUGAGGGAGAAAGUGGGGGAUCUUCGGACCUCACGCUAUCAGAUGAGCCUAGGUCGGAUUAGCUAGUUGGUGGGGUAAAGGCCUACCAAGGCGACGAUCCGUAACUGGUCUGAGAGGAUGAUCAGUCACACUGGAACUGAGACACGGUCCAGACUCCUACGGGAGGCAGCAGUGGGGAAUAUUGGACAAUGGGCGAAAGCCUGAUCCAGCCAUGCCGCGUGUGUGAAGAAGGUCUUCGGAUUGUAAAGCACUUUAAGUUGGGAGGAAGGGCAGUAAGUUAAUACCUUGCUGUUUUGACGUUACCAACAGAAUAAGCACCGGCUAACUUCGUG